AUUCCAGCUCCAAUAGCGUAUAUUAAAGUUGUUGCAGUUAAAAAGCUCGUAGUUGGAUUUCUGGUUUGAUGCCCUGGCCCGCUUCAAAUUUUGGAGUGUGUGCCGGCUGUGCGUCUGCCAUCCUUCUAGAAAACGUUCGUACCCUUCACUGGGCCGCGUUCGAGAUCUAGAUCUUUUACUUUGAAAAAAUUAGAGUGUUUAAAGCAGGCAGUUGCUAUGAAUACAUUAGCAUGGAAUAAUAAUCUAGGACUUCGGUUCUAUUUUGUUGGUUUCUAGUACUGAAGUAAUGAUUGAUAGGGAUAGUUGGGGGUGCUAGUAUUGAGCGGCCAGAGGUGAAAUUCUUGGAUUCGCUCAAGACUAACUUAUGCGAAAGCAUUCACCAAGGAUGUCUUCAUCA
rnacentral:rRNA from 1 species